CCCAUGUUUGGUUUAUGCAAGUAAGAAUAAAUACAAGAGUUAGGAUAAACAGAACGGAGUAGGGAGGUAGACGGGAAUAGAGACACAUUUUUGCUAAUCCGAAAGUCUUUCAUCCUCGAUAAUGGAUCGAUGGUAAUGAAAAGCUAUACCUUCGUUCUUCUGAUGUUAUUAUCAUUGCUAUUAUUAUUUUUGUUAUCAUUGUUCAACAGUUUUCUAGUCAACGGAAAUACCCCAUAUGACCAUCGCAAACUCUACGGAAAAGAAGCUUAAGCUUGUUUAACGAGAUCAUCAUUGGGGCUGCGAGGUGUUCAGUCACAGGACCUCGCUCUGCCUAAAAUAUUACUGAGAAGAAGUAACAUGGUUUGAUAGCGACAUUCAGUGAUUUCAAACAAAAAGCUGUGAUACUGACAGGCAAUCCAAAAUGAGUUGUCAGCUGAAGAACACAAAAAGUCCAUUUGAAAUCCAGUGCUCAUUUCCUGAUGUCGGUGACGGGAAAGGCGAUUUUUCAGUCUACUUUAAUCCUUUCAAUGGACCUGCAGCACAACUCAUGGUUAGCUGCACGCGCAUUGAAAGAAGAUACGCGUGUACCUCAGAUGAGGUCGUCGUCACACAGGAAAAUCUCAACACUGCGACCAUCACUGUGACUGAAACAUUUGCUAAAAAGAAAGGAACAUUUUCUUGUCAGAGAGGAGACCUUCCUGUGACCAAGCAAUGCCAGUUUCCAUUUUCGGGUAAGAUUU